UACGUAGGGAUGCAAGCGUUAGUUCGGAAUUACUGGGCGUAAAGCGUGCGCAGGCGGUUUUGUAAGUCUGACGUGAAAUCCCCGGGCUCAACCUGGGAAUUGCGUUGGAGACUGCAAGGCUAGAAUCUGGCAGAGGGGGGUAGAAUUCCACGUGUGAGCAGUGAAAUGCGUAGAGAUGUGGAGGAACACCGAUGGCGAAGGCAGCCCCCUGGGUCAAGAUUGACGCU
rnacentral:rRNA from 1 species